UGGAGCGCAGGGUUAUGAACACACACGGUGGGAGAGUUUGCACAAGUUCAGUAUCAGGUUCAGAUGAGGAUGAAACUGAUCCAGGAUAUCCCAGCCAAAAGGAUGUGUCUCAUUUUCCAGGGAAUUUCCUCCUCCGUGGAGUGCAAGGAAGAGUGGCGGAGCUAUUUGAUAUGUGUGAUGUAUAGGAUAAAGCAGGCCAGAGGGGGUCAUUCACAAGGCUUACUUUACCAGGUUACUUUAUUUGAGCACAUUUUUUUACAGAAUUUUCUGUGUGUAGCUUGAAUGUUUGGAAACAUACUGUACAGUGCAUUAAUACAGACAUUAUUGUGAGUGUUUGUUUUUUUAACUCAUCUAACAGUGUUUCCAGGAAAUGGACAUGGAUGUAUCCGUCCUGUGAGGCCUCGACAGAGUGACCCAAACAUUAGAACAUGAGAGAUGCCGCCCAGCUCUUAAUGAAUAGGUACUGUGGUUCGCUCUCUUUCUUUUCAAAUACAAAUAGCACACAUACGCACACACAAUGAGGG
ensembl:lncRNA